GACGAACGCUGGCGGCGUGCUUAACACAUGCAAGUCGAACGGAAAGGCCCUGCUUUUGUGGGGUGCUCGAGUGGCGAACGGGUGAGUAACACGUGAGUAACCUGCCCUUGGCUUUGGGAUAACUUCAGGAAACUGGGGCUAAUACCGGAUAGGAGCUCCUGCUGCAUGGUGGGGGUUGGAAAGUUUCGGCGGUUGGGGAUGGACUCGCGGCUUAUCAGCUUGUUGGUGGGGUAGUGGCUUACCAAGGCUUUGACGGGUAGCCGGCCUGAGAGGGUGACCGGCCACAUUGGGACUGAGAUACGGCCCAGACUCCUACGGGAGGCAGCAGUGGGGAAUAUUGCACAAUGGGCGGAAGCCUGAUGCAGCAACGCCGCGUGCGGGAUGACGGCCUUCGGGUUGUAAACCGCUUUCGCCUGUGACGAAGCGUGAGUGACGGUAAUGGGUAAAGAAGCACCGGCUAACUACGUG
rnacentral:rRNA from 1 species